rnacentral:rRNA from 1 species
UACAGAGGGUGCGAGCGUUGUCCGGAAUCACUGGGCGUAAAGGGCGCGUAGGCGGCCUGUUAAGUAGGGGGUGAAAUCUCGAGGCUCAACUUCGAGGCUGCCUCCUAAACUGUCAGGCUUGAGCAGAGUAGAGGCAGGUGGAAUUCCCGGUGUAGCGGUGGAAUGCGUAGAGAUCGGGAAGAACACCGGUGGCGAAGGCGGCAUCCUGGACCGGCAUUGACGCUGAGGCGCGAAAGCCAGGGGAGCAAACGGG